AGCGUACACGGUGGAUGCCCUGGCAGUCAGAGGCGAUGAAGGGCGUGCUAAUCUGCGAUAAGCGCCGGUAAGGUGAUAUGAACCGUUAUAACCGGCGAUACCCGAAUGGGGAAACCCAGUGUGACUCGUCACACUAUCAUUAACUGAAUCCAUAGGUUAAUGAGGCGAACCGGGGGAACUGAAACAUCUAAGUACCCCGAGGAAAAGAAAUCAACCGAGAUUCCCCCAGUAGCGGCGAGCGAACGGGGAGGAGCCCAGAGCCUGAAUCAGCAUGUGUGUUAGUGGAAGCGUCUGGAAAGGCGCGCGAUACAGGGUGACAGCCCCGUACACAAAAGCGCAUGUGCUGUGAGCUCGAUGAGUAGGGCGGGACACGUGGUAUCCUGUCUGAAUAUGGGGGGACCAUCCUCCAAGGCUAAAUACUCCUGACUGACCGAUAGUGAACCAGUACCGUGAGGGAAAGGCGAAAAGAACCCCGGCGAGGGGAGUGAAAAAGAACCUGAAACCGUGUACGUACAAGCAGUGGGAGCNNGUGACUGCGUACCUUUUGUAUAAUGGGUCAGCGACUUAUAUUCUGUAGCAAGGUUAACCGAAUAGGGGAGCCGGAGGGAAACCGAGUCUUAAUUGGGCGUUAAGUUGCAGGGUAUAGACCCGAAACCCGGUGAUCUAGCCAUGGGCAGGUUGAAGGUUGGGUAACACUAACUGGAGGACCGAACCGACUAAUGUUGAAAAAUUAGCGGAUGACCUGUGGCUGGGGGUGAAAGGCCAAUCAAACCGGGAGAUAGCUGGUUCUCCCCGAAAGCUAUUUAGGUAGCGCCUCGUGAAUUCAUCUCCGGGGGUAGAGCACUGUUUCGGCUAGGGGGCCAUCCCGGCUUACCAACCCGAUGCAAACUGCGAAUACCGGAGAAUGUUAUCACGGGAGACACACGGCGGGUGCUAACGUCCGUCGUGAAGAGGGAAACAACCCAGACCGCCAGCUAAGGUCCCAAAGUCAUGGUUAAGUGGGAAACGAUGUGGGAAGGCCCAGACAGCCAGGAUGUUGGCUUAGAAGCAGCCAUCAUUUAAAGAAAGCGUAAUAGCUCACUGGUCGAGUCGGCCUGCGCGGAAGAUGUAACGGGGCUAAACCAUGCACCGAAGCUGCGGCAGCGAACGUAUCACUUAAAGCGAUUCAGCGGGUUACGAUUGACGGAGCGAAGCGACGUCAAAGCGUAUACAAAGUCGAGUCGGUUUAAGGAUACGUUCGUUGGGUAGGGGAGCGUUCUGUAAGCCUGUGAAGGUGUGUCGUGAGGCAUGCUGGAGGUAUCAGAAGUGCGAAUGCUGACAUAAGUAACGAUAAAGCGGGUGAAAAGCCCGCUCGCCGGAAGACCAAGGGUUCCUGUCCAACGUUAAUCGGGGCAGGGUGAGUCGACCCCUAAGGCGAGGCCGAAAGGCGUAGUCGAUGGGAAACGGGUUAAUAUUCCCGUACUUGGUGUUACUGCGAAGGGGGGACGGAGAAGGCUAUGUUGGCCGGGCGACGGUUGUCCCGGUUUAAGCGUGUAGGUGUGUGUUCCAGGUAAAUCCGGUUCACUUUAACACUGAGGCGUGAUGACGAGGCACUACGGUGCUGAAGCAACAAAUGCCCUGCUUCCAGGAAAAGCCUCUAAGCAUCAGGUAACAUCAAAUCGUACCCCAAACCGACACAGGUGGUCAGGUAGAGAAUACCAAGGCGCUUGAGAGAACUCGGGUGAAGGAACUAGGCAAAAUGGUGCCGUAACUUCGGGAGAAGGCACGCUGACACGUAGGUGAAGUGAUUUACUCAUGGAGCUGAAGUCAGUCGAAGAUACCAGCUGGCUGCAACUGUUUAUUAAAAACACAGCACUGUGCAAACACGAAAGUGGACGUAUACGGUGUGACGCCUGCCCGGUGCCGGAAGGUUAAUUGAUGGGGUCAGCGCAAGCGAAGCUCCUGAUCGAAGCCCCGGUAAACGGCGGCCGUAACUAUAACGGUCCUAAGGUAGCGAAAUUCCUUGUCGGGUAAGUUCCGACCUGCACGAAUGGCGUAAUGAUGGCCAGGCUGUCUCCACCCGAGACUCAGUGAAAUUGAACUCGCUGUGAAGAUGCAGUGUACCCGCGGCAAGACGGAAAGACCCCGUGAACCUUUACUAUAGCUUGACACUGAACAUUGAGCCUUGAUGUGUAGGAUAGGUGGGAGGCUUUGAAGCGUGGACGCCAGUCUGCGUGGAGCCGACCUUGAAAUACCACCCUUUAAUGUUUGAUGUUCUAACGUGGACCCGUAAUCCGGGUUGCGGACAGUGUCUGGUGGGUAGUUUGACUGGGGCGGUCUCCUCCUAAAGAGUAACGGAGGAGCACGAAGGUUGGCUAAUCCUGGUCGGACAUCAGGAGGUUAGUGCAAUGGCAUAAGCCAGCUUGACUGCGAGCGUGACGGCGCGAGCAGGUGCGAAAGCAGGUCAUAGUGAUCCGGUGGUUCUGAAUGGAAGGGCCAUCGCUCAACGGAUAAAAGGUACUCCGGGGAUAACAGGCUGAUACCGCCCAAGAGUUCAUAUCGACGGCGGUGUUUGGCACCUCGAUGUCGGCUCAUCACAUCCUGGGGCUGAAGUAGGUCCCAAGGGUAUGGCUGUUCGCCAUUUAAAGUGGUACGCGAGCUGGGUUUAGAACGUCGUGAGACAGUUCGGUCCCUAUCUGCCGUGGGCGCUGGAGAACUGAGGGGGGCUGCUCCUAGUACGAGAGGACCGGAGUGGACGCAUCACUGGUGUUCGGGUUGUCAUGCCAAUGGCACUGCCCGGUAGCUAAAUGCGGAAGAGAUAAGUGCUGAAAGCAUCUAAGCACGAAACUUGCCCCGAGAUGAGUUCU
rnacentral:rRNA from 1 species